UACCUUGCAAAGCUAUUUCCCACUUUA
rnacentral:piRNA from 1 species